UACGUAGGGUGCGAGCGUUGUUCGGAAUUAUUGGGCGUAAAGAGCUCGUAGGCGGUUUGUCACGUCGGCCGUGAAAACCUGCAGCUUAACUGUGGGCGUGCGGUCGAUACGGGCAUCACUGGAGUUCGGCAGGGGAGACUGGAAUUCCUGGUGUAGCGGUGAAAUGCGCAGAUAUCAGGAGGAACACCGGUGGCGAAGGCGGGUCUCUGGGCCGAUACUGACGCUGAGGAGCGAAAGCGUGGGGAGCAAACAGG
rnacentral:rRNA from 1 species